UACGGAGGAUCCAAGCGUUAUCCGGAUUUAUUGGGUUUAAAGGGUGCGUAGGCGGAUUGAUAAGUUAGAGGUGAAAUGUCCGAGCUCAACUCGGGAACUGCCUCUAAUACUGUUGAUCUAGAGAGUAGAUGCGGUAGGCGGAAUGUAUGGUGUGGCGGUGAAAUGCUUAGAGAUCAUACAGAACACCGAUUGCGAAGGCAGCUUACCAAUCUAUAUCUGACGUUGAGGCACGAAAGCGUGGGGAGCAAACAGG
rnacentral:rRNA from 1 species